rnacentral:lncRNA from 1 species
GUCGGUCUGAGCUCGGCGCGUCCUCAGGGUAAGGGCGGUAAUAGAAAGGCUUCCUUCUCUUUUCUUUUUUUUGCAAUAUCUUGCAACUUAUCUUGCUCGUCCUUGCAGAUAUCGCGAAGAUGGUGACCAAGAGCGAAGCUCUGUACGCUCGGUUCCGGAAGAGAGCUGCCGAGCUCGGAGGAGAACCGCUCGAACCGAAGAAG